GGGAAUAUUGCACAAUGGGCGAAAGCCUGAUGCAGCAACGCCGCGUGCGGGAAGAAGGCCCUAGGGUUGUAAACCGCUUUCAGCAGGGAAGAAAAUGACGGUACCUGCAGAAGAAGGUGCGGCCAACUACGUGCCAGCAGCCGCGGUGACACGUAGGCACCAAGCGUUGUCCGGAUUUAUUGGGCGUAAAGAGCUCGUAGGCGGUUUUGUAAGUCGGGUGCGAAAACUCUGGGCUCAACCCAGAGAGGCCACCCGAUACUGCAAUGACUUGAGUACGGUAGGGGAGCGGGGAAUUCCUGGUGUAGCGGUGAAAUGCGCAGAUAUCAGGAGGAACACCAGUGGCGAAGGCGCCGCUCUGGGCCGUAACUGACGCUGAGGAGCGAAAGCAUGGGUAGCAAA
rnacentral:rRNA from 1 species